GGARGKACCSCUWRGSGGKGGUKUUUUGCCGACYCCCUUUCACGCCCCUUCGCGGGGUGCCGUGAGGGGRGCCCGGCAGCGAGUCAGGAGAGUAGCGGUCCGUUUGACGACGUUCUUCCGUUUACCUCUGGCCCACCGCCGAAACGAGAAACCACGGCAAUCAGUCAGACUUUUAAAUUGCGUCCGGUUCGCCGGUCGGCCCGAAUCAGGGUCGCGCCGYGCCCGGCCAGUUCACUGCGAUCACGGUAUUGAAACCCGUGCGCUCAAGGUGGAGGCGCCAAAUCGUCCGCAGACGACCCAGGUACUAGNUCGGGGUGUCGACUUAG
rnacentral:rRNA from 1 species